UCGCCUGUUUAACAAAAACAUGGCUAUUAUGAGAUUAUUUAUAGUCUAGCCUGCUCACUGAUAAAAAUUAUUAAAUAGCCGCGGUAUCUUGACCGUGCAAAGGUAGCAUAAUCAUUAGUUUUUUAAUUGAAAACUUGUAUGAAUGGUUGGACAAGGAAGAAGCUGUCUCUCAUAUUAUCAUUGAAUUUAACUUUUAAGUGAAAAGGCUUAAAUGAUCUAGAGGGACGAUAAGACCCUAUAAAGCUUUAUAAAUUUAAAGAUUUUAUAUAUUUUUAUAUAAAAAUAAAUUCCAGAGGAUUUAUUUUGUUGGGGCGACAAUGGUAUAAUGAAAAUAACUGCUAUUAAAAUUAACAAUUAUAUUUGUUUAUGUAAAUAAUUGAUCCUUUAUAAGGAUUUUAAGAUCAAGUUACUUUAGGGAUAACAGCGUUAUUUUUCCUGAGAGUCCUUAUCAAAGGAGAAGUUUGCGACCUCGAUGUUGAAUUAAAAUGUCUUUAUAGUGCAGCAGCUAUAAAAGAAGGUC
rnacentral:rRNA from 1 species